rnacentral:lncRNA from 1 species
CUCUCUCUCUCUCUCGCCCUGCCUCAUUGUCUCUGUGUGCGGCAACAGUGCUGCUAGAAGCCAGUCCUUUUCACUGCUCGCCAGACAGAGGAAGGCAGAGGUUUGUGGAGAUCCAGAGAUAGGUAGACUAUGCCUCAGUUCACCUUUGCCUGCUUCUGCGGCCUUCAUGGCCUCUGCGGAAGGAAAAAGAAGAAAAAGGAGCAAGAGAGACAACCACAACAGGACUAUGAAACUGAGGUUUGAAAUGAUGUCUGGACUGGGAAGAUUCUCAAGGUUUCAGUAGCUUACAAAGGG